AGCGUACACGGUGGAUGCCCUGGCAGUCAGAGGCGAUGAAGGACGUGCUAAUCUGCGAAAAGCGUCGGUAAGGUGAUAUGAACCGUUAUAACCGGCGAUGUCCGAAUGGGGAAACCCAGUGCAAUUCGUUGCACUAUCGUUAACUGAAUACAUAGGUUAACGAGGCGAACCGGGGGAACUGAAACAUCUAAGUACCCCGAGGAAAAGAAAUCAACCGAGAUUCCCCCAGUAGCGGCGAGCGAACGGGGAGCAGCCCAGAGUCUGAAUCAGCUUGUGUGUUAGUGGAACGGUCUGGAAAGUCCGACGGUACAGGGUGAUAGUCCCGUACACCAAAAUGCACAGGCUGUGAACUCGAAGAGUAGGGCGGGACACGUGGUAUCCUGUCUGAAUAUGGGGGGACCAUCCUCCAAGGCUAAAUACUCCUGACUGACCGAUAGUGAACCAGUACCGUGAGGGAAAGGCGAAAAGAACCCCGGCGAGGGGAGUGAAAAAGAACCUGAAACCGUGUACGUACAAGCAGUGGGAGCACCUUCGGGUGUGACUGCGUACCUUUUGUAUAAUGGGUCAGCGACUUAUAUUCUGUAGCAAGGUUAACCGUAUAGGGGAGCCGCAGGGAAACCGAGUCUUAACUGGGCGUUAAGUUGCAGGGUAUAGACCCGAAACCCGGUGAUCUAGCCAUGGGCAGGUUGAAGGUUGGGUAACACUAACUGGAGGACCGAACCGACUAAUGUUGAAAAAUUAGCGGAUGACUUGUGGCUGGGGGUGAAAGGCCAAUCAAACCGGGAGAUAGCUGGUUCUCCCCGAAAGCUAUUUAGGUAGCGCCUCGUGAACUCAUCUUCGGGGGUAGAGCACUGUUUCGGCUAGGGGGUCAUCCCGACUUACCAACCCGAUGCAAACUACGAAUACCGAAGAAUGUUAUCACGGGAGACACACGGCGGGUGCUAACGUCCGUCGUGAAGAGGGAAACAACCCAGACCGCCAGCUAAGGUCCCAAAGUCAUGGUUAAGUGGGAAACGAUGUGGGAAGGCACAGACAGCCAGGAUGUUGGCUUAGAAGCAGCCAUCAUUUAAAGAAAGCGUAAUAGCUCACUGGUCGAGUCGGCCUGCGCGGAAGAUGUAACGGGGCUAAACCAUGCACCGAAGCUGCGGCAGCGACACUAUGUGUUGUUGGGUAGGGGAGCGUUCUGUAAGCCUGCGAAGGUGACCUGUGAGGGUUGCUGGAGGUAUCAGAAGUGCGAAUGCUGACAUAAGUAACGAUAAAGCGGGUGAAAAGCCCGCUCGCCGGAAGACCAAGGGUUCCUGUCCAACGUUAAUCGGGGCAGGGUGAGUCGACCCCUAAGGCGAGGCCGAAAGGCGUAGUCGAUGGGAAACAGGUUAAUAUUCCUGUACUUGGUGUUACUGCGAAGGGGGGACGGAGAAGGCUAUGUUAGCCGGGCGACGGUUGUCCCGGUUUAAGCAUGUAGGCUGAUUGUCCAGGCAAAUCCGGAUAAUCAAGGCUGAGGUGUGAUGACGAGGCACUACGGUGCUGAAGUAACAAAUGCCCUGCUUCCAGGAAAAGCCUCUAAGCAUCAGGUAACAUCAAAUCGUACCCCAAACCGACACAGGUGGUCAGGUAGAGAAUACCAAGGCGCUUGAGAGAACUCGGGUGAAGGAACUAGGCAAAAUGGUGCCGUAACUUCGGGAGAAGGCACGCUGGUGUGUAGGUGAAGUCCCUGCGGAUGGAGCUGAGACCAGUCGAAGAUACCAGCUGGCUGCAACUGUUUAUUAAAAACACAGCACUGUGCAAACACGAAAGUGGACGUAUACGGUGUGACGCCUGCCCGGUGCCGGAAGGUUAAUUGAUGGGGUUAUCCGUAAGGAGAAGCUCUUGAUCGAAGCCCCGGUAAACGGCGGCCGUAACUAUAACGGUCCUAAGGUAGCGAAAUUCCUUGUCGGGUAAGUUCCGACCUGCACGAAUGGCGUAAUGAUGGCCAGGCUGUCUCCACCCGAGACUCAGUGAAAUUGAACUCGCUGUGAAGAUGCAGUGUACCCGCGGCAAGACGGAAAGACCCCGUGAACCUUUACUAUAGCUUGACACUGAACAUUGAGCCUUGAUGUGUAGGAUAGGUGGGAGGCUUUGAAGCGUGGACGCCAGUCUGCGUGGAGCCAACCUUGAAAUACCACCCUUUAAUGUUUGAUGUUCUAACGUUGGCCCCUUAUCGGGGUUGCGGACAGUGUCUGGUGGGUAGUUUGACUGGGGCGGUCUCCUCCCAAAGCGUAACGGAGGAGCACGAAGGUUAGCUAAUCCUGGUCGGACAUCAGGAGGUUAGUGCAAUGGCAUAAGCUAGCUUGACUGCGAGCGUGACGGCGCGAGCAGGUGCGAAAGCAGGUCAUAGUGAUCCGGUGGUUCUGAAUGGAAGGGCCAUCGCUCAACGGAUAAAAGGUACUCCGGGGAUAACAGGCUGAUACCGCCCAAGAGUUCAUAUCGACGGCGGUGUUUGGCACCUCGAUGUCGGCUCAUCACAUCCUGGGGCUGAAGUAGGUCCCAAGGGUAUGGCUGUUCGCCAUUUAAAGUGGUACGCGAGCUGGGUUUAGAACGUCGUGAGACAGUUCGGUCCCUAUCUGCCGUGGGCGCUGGAGAAUUGAGGGGGGCUGCUCCUAGUACGAGAGGACCGGAGUGGACGCAUCACUGGUGUUCGGGUUGUCAUGCCAAUGGCACUGCCCGGUAGCUAAAUGCGGAAGAGAUAAGUGCUGAAAGCAUCUAAGCACGAAACUUGCCCCGAGAUGAGUUCU
rnacentral:rRNA from 1 species